AAAAAGGCCCUUUUCAGGGCCACCACAAAUUCUGAUCAGCCUCCAG
rfam:Asian citrus Psyllid, Diaphorina citri - Florida Strain, whole genome shotgun sequence.